rnacentral:lncRNA from 1 species
CUGUGGGAGCUGUGCCAUUAGCUGCCAGAGCAUUCCUCAUUUGCCCCCUUCAAAAUCUGGGUGACUUAUUGGUAGGAAUUAGAAUCUAAAUGGAUCAGGCCCUAUGUCUCCCUUUCUCCACCUGCCUUUUUCUGUUUUGCUUAUAUACAUGGUUUGCCUUUUACUUCAUUCAGCACCCAGCCCAAAGUGAGGUCUUUGCAUUCCCACUGGAGUCAUUAGCUGCUUGCUAAGCAUUAACGCUGGGACUGUGGAGUGGAGAAACCCAACUGGCUGUCUGGCAUGGUGCCUGCUGCGGCUGCAGAAAUGGAGGGAAGCUCGAGUGUUUCAUGCACAGGCCAGUCCCACGAACUCUGAGGAUGGAGGCACUGAUGGGAAUGUGUCACUGCAUUCCCCCCAGGAGCGCUCCCCAUGCACCGCAGAGGAGCCAAUGCUGUAAAUCCCAUCCUGGUGGUCUGUUGUCGCACCUUGCCCCUGGGACGACGGUCUGUGAGAGGAUGCUGGAGCCCUGAUCCUGACACUGCAUUGCAUGGCGUGCUGAGCCUUGGAAAUUUGGGCUGGGAGGGCUCUUUGGGACUCCAGUGUUCAGAGACGCUUGCAAGGUAAGGGCAGGAUGCAGAGGACCCUGAAACCAGUGGGAGGGUGUGUGCUGACUUCAGGCUGUUCUCGGCAUGGUCAGGGUGAACACGUGUGUGAGCAAGCGAGGCCCUGUCUGCCUGCUUGUGUUUUUUGCCAAUGAUGAGUUAUGAACGUAUUUCAAAAUGUCAUUCAGAAGUGGUGGGAGGAACUUGUUUCUCGGCUUGAGAGAGCAGUUGGGUUUGGUAGCAGAAAGCCUGUCAAAUAGUAAGCCAGAAAGUUGGAGAUUUUGAGGCGAAGUACAGAGAAGCAGUUGUACACGUUGGAGUCAGUCACAGCGCCUGCUUAUUGCUCUG